rnacentral:rRNA from 1 species
CAUGUCCUUUAGAAUUUAAUUUAAGGUCUAACCUGCCCACUGAUAAAAUUAAAUGGCCGCAGUAUUUUAACUGUGCAAAGGUAGCAUAAUCAUUAGUCUUUUAAUUGAAGGCUUGUAUGAAUGGUUGGACGAAAUAUUAACUGUUUCAUAAAAAUUUGUUUAGAAUUUUAUUUUUUAGUUAAAAAGCUAAAAUUUUUUUAAAAGACGAGAAGACCCUAUAGAUCUUUAUAAUUUAUUUGUUAUAGUUAUAUAGAUUAUUUAAAUUAUGACUUUAUAAGUUAUUUUGUUGGGGUGACAUUAAAAUUUAAUAAACUUUUAAUAAAUUUUUACAUUAAUUUAUGAUUAAUUGAUCCAUUAUUAGUGAUUAUAAAAUUAAGUUACCUUAGGGAUAACAGCGUAAUUUUUUUGAAGAGUUCAUAUCGAUAAAAAAGAUUGCGACCUCGAUGUUGGAUUAAGAUAUAAUUUUGGGUGCAGCAAUUCAAUAAUUAAGUCUGUUCGACUUUUAAUUUCUUACAUG